rnacentral:lncRNA from 1 species
AAAGUAGCCCCAAACCUAGGCCGAGGCUUGACCUAACCCAACAUCUGAUCGGGCUUCGACAUCUGGUUUCCAUUCGACUUCAAGGACUUCACCCUCAACACCUCCCUCUCCUCGUUUCUCGGCCCUUCUUUCCCCAACAAGACUUCUGCCUUUGCUGGCACCCCACAUUAACUAGAAAGAUAUUAGGAGGCCUUUUUUUCUUUUUACUACAACAAUGAGUCAUAUAAGUCUAGUGUGAAUAUAUCCAAAAAAAUCAGAAAGUAAUAAGUCUCAAAGCGCUCUAGGUAGCUUCCUCUCA